rnacentral:rRNA from 1 species
GAUAGCUGGUUCUCCUCGAAAUGCAUUUAGGUGCAGCGUCUGUUGAUUACUAUCGGGGGUAUAGCACUGAAUUGGCUAGGGGGCUCACCAGCUUACCAAACCAUAUCAAACUCAGAAUACCGAUAAGUACAGACAGGCAGUGACACUGCGGAUGCUAAGGUCCGUAGUGGAAAGGGAAAGAGCCCAGAUCGACGUCUAAGGUCCCUAAAUUAUCACUAAGUGGGAAAGGUUGUGGAACUACUGUGACAUCCAGGAGGUUGGCUUAGAAGCAGCCACCCUUUAAAGAAAGCGUAAUAGCUCACUGGUCUAAAUAAGCCGUCCCGCGCCGAAAAUGUACCGGGGCUAAAGCCAUACACCG